CAGGCCUAACACAUGCAAGUCGAACGAAGGCCCGGAGCUUGCUCCGGUGUCCUUAGUGGCGGACGGGUGAGUAACACGUGGGAAUCUACCUAUCAGUAUGGGAUAACUGCGGGAAACUGCAGCUAAUACCGUAUACGCCCUUCGGGGAAAGAUUUAUCGCUGAUAGAUGAGCCCGCGCUCGAUUAGUUUGUUGGUGAGGUAACGGCUCACCAAGA
rnacentral:rRNA from 1 species